rnacentral:lncRNA from 1 species
AUCAAGUUCAGAGCUGUCUCUUCAUUUCUCCCCUUAUUAAGAGCUUCUGACAGAGAACAGCGUGGUACAGCAGGGAGAUGACAGCAGGAGAGACAUUACAUGUGAGGCAACAUGCUGGGCCAUAUAAAGAACAUCUGGCUGGAACACCCUCCACACCCCUCAUCUCUCUCUCCCUCACUCUCUCCGCCUCUCUCCAUAACACAAUUGUAGUGUCACCUGGGGACAUGGAGUGGACCUGCAUGGUAGCAGCAGGAUGGAGGUUGCUGAAUCGAGACAUUUUAUAUACAGGUCAUAAACAGGGGCCCAGUCGCCACUGGGGAUGAU